UUUGUAGUCAACUACUUGGUCAAAUAUAUAUCUCCAAACCCCAUCACCAAACGAUUUCCUCAUAUCUCCACUCCCUAAAAUCUCUCCAACAAACCAAAUCUCCAUAGAACUUAUUAUAUAUCUCAACUACUCCACAUAUUUCACGUUCCACACAUCCAAAGAAACCGAGAGGGAGUAGAGAGAGACUUUGUUUUUGUCCACCCAAUUCUAUCCUGCAAUUGCAAUUGAAGGGUGAAUCGGAUGAGAGAUCGAGGCCGCCAGAGCGGCGACGCAGCGGCUGCUGCGGCGCCGAGCGACGACGGUGAGUGUGGGCGACGAAUCGAAGUCAGCAGCGGCGUCGACUCCGGUGCAGCGGCGAUUCAGAGCAAGUGACGGAGUUCUAUUUUUUUCUCUCAUUCUUUCGGUGUUGCGAUUCUAGGAGAGAGAGGGAGACCCGACGGGAUUUAUUUGUGGAUGGGUACUGAGUUUCAAGUAGAGUUUUAAACUUCUGUUCAAUGUUUGGGGAAGAACUCAGUAGAAAGAGAGAAUAGCCGAUGGUUUUUAUGAAGGAGAGUGUGUUGUUGGUUUCUUUUAAAAUAAGAAUAAGGGAGUACACGUGUGGUGUGGAAUGGAAGUAAUAUUUUGUUCAAUUGUUUAUUCUAAUU